rnacentral:lncRNA from 13 species
AUGCCUCCUGGAGGCCCACCCCCGAGGACACAGCACCAACACGAUUAAUCUUGACUUAGUGAAUGAACGUAUUAUACGGAUUUCAAGCCAGACCUUCAAGUCUGAAAGAGUUCUGAAGAGCCAGAUAAAGCAACCCAUUUUUACUUUGGUGAUUCCACAGGGGUAACUUGCUUUAAUUCCCCUUUCAUCUCUACAGGAGGACUUGGAACUUUAAAAGCAAACAGGUUUCCUAUACUAAUUCCCGGAGAGAAGGCUUCUGUUGCUUUCUUGCUGCUGCGAGACUGAAGAUCCCAGAAUAGGCUGAGAAAAAUAGAACCUGGACCCUAAAAAGAAAAAAAGAAACACGUAGUGGAUAUAGGAACGUUUUGCGGCUCUCACAGUCAUCACUCAGGGUUUCUGCCUCCCACUGUUAUUCUGAAUAGUAAACAAACCCGGAAAAAGUGCAGAAGCAGCCUGGCCUGCAGAGACAGCCACGGAGAUGACCAAGACUGGAAUUCCAAGUGGUUCUUCUCCAAACUGUGUUGAACAUUUGUGAAUCUGAUCUGCACAUCAGGCUGAGGAGUCAUCUAACUGCAAAGCUGUGUUCUUGGGGAAGGCGAAGGCUGAAGGCUGAAAGAGG